rnacentral:rRNA from 1 species
GAUGAACGCUGGCGGCGUGCUUAACACAUGCAAGUCGAACGGAAAGGCCCAAGCUUGCUUGGGUACUCGAGUGGCGAACGGGUGAGUAACACGUGGGUGAUCUGCCCUGCACUUCGGGAUAAGCCUGGGAAACUGGGUCUAAUACCGGAUAGGACCACUUCUUGGAUGUUGUGGUGGAAAGUUUUUUCGGUGUGGGAUGAGCUCGCGGCCUAUCAGCUUGUUGGUGGGGUAAUGGCCUACCAAGGCGUCGACGGGUAGCCGGCCUGAGAGGGUGUGCGGCCACAUUGGGACUGAGAGACGGCCCAGACGCCUACGGGUGGCAGCAGUGGGGAAGAUUGCACAAUGGGCGCAAGGCUGAUGCAGCGACGCCGCGUGGGGGAUGACGGCCUUGGGGUUGAAAACUCCUUUCGCUAGGGACGAAGCGUUUUGUGACGGUACCUGGAGAAGAAGCACCGGCUAACUACGUG